GAAUCCCGUCUUUGACACGGACUACCAGUGCACUGUGGGUGUGCUCUCGAAGAGUCGAGUUGUUUGGGAGUGCAGCUCAAAAUGGGUGGUAAAUGCCAUCUAAAGCUAAAUAUUGGCGAGAGACCGAUAGCGAACAAGUACCGUGAGGGAAAGAUGAAAAGCACUUUGGAAAGAGAGUGAAACAGUACGUGAAAUUGUUGAAAGGGAAACGCUUAAAGUCAGUCGCGUCCGCCGAGACUCAGCCUCGCUCCGGCUUGGUGUAUUUCUCGGUCGACGGGUCAGCGUCAAUUUCGCCCCUCGGAUAAUGGCAAUGGAAAGGUGGCACCUUUGUGGGUGUGUUAUAGUCCUUUGUCGCAUGCGAGGGGUGGGAUUGAGGAACUCAGCACGCACGCCCUCUGGGGUGUGUCGGGGCCAAGGCCCACGCCACGUGCUUAGGAUGCUGGCGUAAUGGCUUUAAACGACCCGUCUUGAAACACGGACCAAGGAGUCUAACAUGCCUGCGAGUGUUUGGGUGGAAAACCCGGACGCGUAAUGAAAGUGAAAGUUGAGAUCCCUGUCGUGGGGAGCAUCGACGCCCGGACCAGAGCUUUUGUGACGGAUCCGCGGUAGAGCAUGUAUGUUGGGACCCGAAAGAUGGUGAACUAUGCCUGAAUAGGGUGAAGCCAGAGGAAACUCUGGUGGAGGCUCGUAGCGAUUCUGACGUGCAAAUCGAUCGUCAAAUUUGGGUAUAGGGGCGAAAGACUAAUCGAACCAUCUAGUAGCUGGUUCCUGCC
rnacentral:rRNA from 1 species